rfam:Vigna angularis cultivar Jingnong 6 chromosome 3, whole genome shotgun sequence.
ACGACCUUACUUGAACAGGAUCUGUUCUAUAGGCUCGUACCUCUGUAUCCUUAAGUUCUAAGGAGACAGGAACUGAAGUCUGGUGGAUGAACUAUGAUCCUGUGAUCAGAGCGUGAUUAACGGUAGUGUGAGGCUUUCCUUCUGGACGAGACUCAUCAUCAACUGUAGAGGAUCGUUCCCUGACUCUACAGGCUAGGGAUGGUUGCAGGAUUGUCUGACAGACU